rnacentral:rRNA from 1 species
AUGGCAAAUACCUGCACAAACUUCACCGAUACCGUACGCUUUGUGCGGCUGUUCAAGAUCGAUGGUUUCGACAUGAUGUCCUCGACCCUACGCGACAAUGAGUGCAUCACAUCCAGGUGGUGCAUCAAUGGGUAUGAGUGGGAGAUCCAUUGCUACCCACCUAGGUGGGCGUGUGAUUGGGUAGCAGUCAAGCUUAUGUUGGUUAGUGAAGCCGGCACUGUGGCUGUGAGGGCGAACCUAAGCUGUCUCCUGGUACAUCCGGUGAUGCAAGGAGGUGUAUCACAGUUUGAAAAGAGCGUGUCACAUGUGUUCAAAAGCCACAAAGAUUGCUCGAAUCGAGUCAAGCUCGUGCAAAAAUCAUCUAUACCAGCGCCGGCUCAUCCCAAGGAUGAUUACUUGAUUGUGCAGUGCACCAUCACAGUUUUGAAGGAACGGACGGACGUGGCAGCCGCGGUGCCCGUACCGGCCUCCAACCUGCCCCAACACUUCGGGGACCUCUUGCAACGUGGGACCGGAGCCGACAUCACAUUUGUUGUGUCGGGCGAGUCAUUUGCUGCUCACAAGGUCAUACUCGCUGCUAGGUCGCCUGUUCUCAUGGCCGAGUUCUUUGGGUACAUGAGGGAGGCGAGUGCUCAAAGCAUCAUGAUAAAGGACAUGGAGGCGGCAGUAUUCAAGGCAAUGCUGCACUUCAUCUACACUGACACGGUGCCUGAACUUGAUCGGGAGCUGGAGGCAGUGGAGACGAUGGCUCAGCAUCUGCUUGUGGCGGCUGACAGACGACUCAUCGGGAAGGUGAACGCAAAGAUUGUUGGGUAUUUUGCAUUGAUUGACCACUUCGGUGUUGUGUCUUCAACUUCCAACGCCCAUGCAUGCCGGCGUCUCCACCCGAGGAGUCACCACCUCGCUGGUUUUAAUUGCCGCCCCUGCUGUACAAAUUGCCCUGCUCCGCCAUCAGUCCAUCAUCUUCUCACCCCCAACCUCCACUUCCUCUCCGUCUGCACCCCCUCUUCUCCAGCCUGCGCCAUGGUUGCUAAUACCUGCACAAACCUCACUGAUACCGCGCGCUUCGAGCGACUGUUCAAGAUCGACGGGUUCAGCUUGGUGUCCUCGACCCUAGGCAGCACUGAGCUCAUCAAAUCCAAUGCUAUCCACGUCGAUGGGUACGAGUGGGAAAUCCAUUGCUUUCCACGUGCUUGGUACAGCAAUUGGUACGUAGCACUUAAGCUUAUGUUCCUGAGUGAUGCCCCCCGCACAGGCGCUGUGACGGCGAGCCUAAGCUGCCUCCUGGUACAUCCGAGGAUGGUGGGCAAUGCACCACACUCUGAAAAGAAUUUGGCACAUGUGUUCAGGCGCCACAAAGACUGCUCAAAUACAGUCCUGCUCGUGCAAAGGGAUUCUUUAAUGCAGCCGGCUUGUCCCAGGGACGACUAUCUGACCGUGCGGUGCACCAGCACGGUCCUCAAAGAACCACCGGCUGUGGCAACAACGGUGCCUGUCCCGACCGCCAAUCUGCACAAGCACCUCAGUGAGCUCUUGUGUAGGGGGACGGGAGCCGACGUCACAUUUAGUGUGGGCAGCGAGAAGUUUGCUGCUCACAACGCCAUACUCGCUGCGAGGUCCCCUGUUCUAAUGGCCGAGUUCUUUGGACAAACGAGGGAGGCAACCUCUCCAUGUGUCGUGAUCGAGGACAUGGAGGUGGCAGCUUUCAAGGCCAUGCUGUGUUUUGAUUUUCGGUUUGAGCUUUUUUUCGCCCUAAGCCGAGAUGGCCGAAUUUCGGCCAUUUUCAAAAAUUUCGGCUGA